ACGUACACUACGGGAGGCAGCAGUGGGGAAUUUUGGACAAUGGGCGAAAGCCUGAUCCAGCAAUGCCGCGUGAGUGAAGAAGGCCUUCGGGUUGUAAAGCUCUUUUGUCAGGGAAGAAACGGUGAAAGCUAAUAUCUUUUGCUAAUGACGGUACCUGAAGAAUAAGCACCGGCUAACUACGUGCCAGCAGCCGCGGUAAUACGUAGGGUGCAAGCGUUAAUCGGAAUUACUGGGCGUAAAGCGUGCGCAGGCGGUUUUGUAAGUCUGAUGUGAAAUCCCCGGGCUCAACCUGGGAAUUGCAUGGGAGACUGCAAGGCUAGAAUCUGGCAGAGGGGGGUAGAAUUCCACGUGUAGCAGUGAAAUGCGUAGAUAUGUGGAGGAACACCGAUGGCGAAGGCAGCCCCCUGGGUCAAGAUUGACGCUCAUGCACGAAAGCGUGGGGAGCAAACAGGAUUAGAAACCCUAGUAGUCCCAUGAU
rnacentral:rRNA from 1 species